AUUGAACGCUGGCGGCAGGCCUAACACAUGCAAGUCGAACGGUAACAGGAAGAAGCCUGCUUCUUUGCUGACGAGUGGCGGACGGGUGAGUAAUGUCUGGGAAACUGCCUGAUGGAGGGGGAUAACUACUGGAAACGGUAGCUAAUACCGCAUAACGUCGCAAGACCAAGAGGGGGACCUUCGGGCCUCUUGCCAUCGGAUGUGCCCAGAUGGGAUUAGCUAGUAGGUGGGGUAACGGCUCACCUAGGCGACGAUCCCUAGCUGGUCUGAGAGGAUGACCAGCCACACUGGAACUGAGACACGGUCCAGACUCCUACGGGAGGCAGCAGUGGGGAAUAUUGCACAAUGGGCGCAAGCCUGAUGCAGCCAUGCCGCGUGUAUGAAGAAGGCCUUCGGGUUGUAAAGUACUUUCAGCGGGGAGGAAGGGAGUAAAGUUAAUACCUUUGCUCAUUGACGUUACCCGCAGAAGAAGCACCGGCUAACUCCGUG
rnacentral:rRNA from 1 species